UAAUGAGUAGUUUAAGAAAAACGAUAGGUUGUGGUUCUAUAAAUAAGAUUAACUUCUCAUUAG
rnacentral:tRNA from 1 species